AGUCGCCUGAGAAUCCCUACUACCGUCACUAAUCGCUCGUGCAUCAUCUCCUUCACUACUUAAGCAAACUCCCCGUCUUGCUUCCUUGUAGUAUUUGACUAAGAGGUUCACACAAUCUGCCUUAAGAAUAUCAUUGCACCCAUGUCUAAGAGAUGUUUCAGUUCUGUAAUCAGUGACAAUUUUGACUAGGCAAUCCCUAAGCCGAGGAAUUUCAAAGCCAUUAGGCACCAUAUUUACAAUAUAUAGGGGGUCAAGAUUGCCAACUGUAUGCUCCAACAACACUCCUACCAUUUCAGGUUUGUGAAGACACUGCUUAAUCAAUUCUUCCCAAA
rnacentral:misc_RNA from 1 species